CCGGGCGGGGGUGCUAUACAUGCAAGUCGAGCGGACAGAAGGGAGCUUGCUCCCGGAUGUUAGCGGCGGACGGGUGAGUAACACGUGGGUAACCUGCCUGUAAGACUGGGAUAACUCCGGGAAACCGGAGCUAAUACCGGAUAGUUCCUUGAACCGCAUGGUUCAAGGAUGAAAGACGGUUUCGGCUGUCACUUACAGAUGGACCCGCGGCGCAUUAGCUAGUUGGUGAGGUAACGGCUCACCAAGGCGACGAUGCGUAGCCGACCUGAGAGGGUGAUCGGCCACACUGGGACUGAGACACGGCCCAGACUCCUACGGGAGGCAGCAGUAGGGAAUCUUCCGCAAUGGACGAAAGUCUGACGGAGCAACGCCGCGUGAGUGAUGAAGGUUUUCGGAUCGUAAAGCUCUGUUGUUAGGGAAGAACAAGUGCAAGAGUAACUGCUUGCACCAUGACGGUACCUAACCAGAAAGCCACGGCUAACUACGUGCCAGCAGCCGCGGUAAUACGUAGGUGGCAAGCGUUGUCCGGAAUUAUUGGGCGUAAAGGGCUCGCAGGCGGUUUCUUAAGUCUGAUGUGAAAGCCCCCGGCUCAACCGGGGAGGGUCAUUGGAAACUGGGAAACUUGAGUGCAGAAGAGGAGAGUGGAAUUCCACGUGUAGCGGUGAAAUGCGUAGAGAUGUGGAGGAACACCAGUGGCGAAGGCGACUCUCUGGUCUGUAACUGACGCUGAGGAGCGAAAGCGUGGGGAGCGAACAGGAUUAGAUACCCUGGUAGUCCACGCCGUAAACGAUGAGUGCUAAGUGUUAUGGGGUUUCCGCCCCUUAGUGCUGCAGCUAACGCAUUAAGCACUCCGCCUGGGGAGUACGGUCGCAAGACUGAAACUCAAAGGAAUUGACGGGGGCCCGCACAAGCGGUGGAGCAUGUGGAUUUAAUUUCGAAGCAACGCGAAGAACCUUACCAUGUCUGACAUCUCUGACAACCCUAGAGAUAGGCUUUCCCUCGGGAACAGAGUGACAGGUGGUGCAUGCUUGUCGUUCAGCCUCGUGUCGUGGAGAUGUUGUGGUUUAAGUCCCGCUACC
rnacentral:rRNA from 1 species